rnacentral:tRNA from 6 species
GUCCCUGUAGCUCAGCUGGAUAGAGCACCGUCCUCCUAAGACGGGUGUCGUACGUUCAAAUCGUAUCAGGGACG